AAAUUUAGCGGCAAUGGAUAGCUCGUUUCACAACACUCUCCUCUCUCCUGAACAGUGCUUCUCCUUGUUCGCGCUCUAAAUCAACAGCAUGGAAUCCGGUAUACUUCUUGCUGAGGCUGACGACACUGUUAAAGGCUAUUGCAGACAAAUUCGAGAGGAAGUUGCGAAGAAGGUGAACGGAAAACAGGAUUUCAGCAUGUUUACUCCCACCAUCUACACUGUUGUUUCUGGUGCCACUGAAUAUUAUGUCGUCAACACAUAUUGUGUCAAGGUUCAAAUCAACGCUCUGUGCGAAAUUAUCGUUGAAUUCACUAUCAGAACGGGAGAUGAUUCGGAACCACUUACUGAUUUGAAGACCAGAGCCAAUGGACCUUUGAGUUUCACGAAAUGAAGGCCAUCUAUCGUCACAAUAUCCUUGUCACCCACCAUCUCACGAUGUUCUUUUCUUGUUCCUUUUUCACUAAAAAACGAAUAAAUGAAUGAACUAAUCAUCUAGCAUUUAGAGGACUACCCUUUUUCAACUUAGUUUUUUGAUUCUCUCUGCUAUGUUUACGUUAGAGUCUGUGUCACACCGCGCAGCAGAAAUAGAAAACAGGAGUACCGUUUCAAAUGUUUCAGCCUUUGGCCAUCAUCUGCCAAAUGAUUUUUCUUUUUUCCAUGCAUUUGUAACUCACACUAUAACUGUGUUGCUCCAGUGCAUAAAUUUAGGCAAUCUGUCUUUGAAAUGGAACCAAAGUCGGCGAAAGUGCGCCUCUCUGAA